rnacentral:rRNA from 1 species
AUUGAACGCUGGCGGCAGGCCUAACACAUGCAAGUCGAACGAGUGGCGGACGGGUGAGUAAUGUCUGGGAAACUGCCCGAUGGAGGGGGAUAACUACUGGAAACGGUAGCUAAUACCGCAUACCAUCGGAUGUGCCCAGAUGGGAUUAGCUAGUAGGUGGGGUAACGGCUCACCUAGGCGACGAUCCCUAGCUGGUCUGAGAGGAUGACCAGCCAAAAUGGCACUGAGACACGGUCCAAACUCCUACGGGAGGCAGCAGUGGGGAAUAUUGCACAAUGGGGGACAGGCUGAUGCAGCCAUGCCGCGUGUAUUAAGAAGGGCCUUGGGUUGUAAAGUUCUUUCCGCGGGGAAGCGUUACUCGCAGAAGAAGCACCGGCUAACUCCGUGCCAGCAGCCGCGGUAAUAC